rnacentral:rRNA from 1 species
AUUUAACGCUGGCGGCAGGCCUAACACAUGCAAGUCGAGCGAGCGACAGACGGGUGAGUAAUGUCUGGGAAACUGCAUGAUGGAGGGGGAGAACUCCUGGAAACGGUAGCUCAUACCGCAUACAAUCAGCUGUGCCCAGAUGGGAUUAUCUGGUAGGUGGGGUAACGGCGCAACUAGGCGACGAUCCCUAGCUGGUGUGAGAGGAUGACCAGCCACACUGGAACGGGGACACGGUCCAUAUUCCUACGGUAGGCAUGAGUGUGGAAUAUGGCACAAGGGGCGCAAGCCUGAUGCACCCAUGCCGCGUGUUUGACGACGGCCUUCGGGUUGUAAAGCCCUUUCAGCUGGGCGUCGUUACCCACAGAAGUAGCACCUGCUAACUCCGUGCCAGCAGCCGCGGUAAUUC